GCGGUCGUGGUGGAAUGGCAGACACGCCGGUCUUAGGAGCCGGUGGGCAACCGUGGGGGUUCAAGUCCCCCCGACCGCACCA
rnacentral:tRNA from 1 species